rnacentral:rRNA from 1 species
CCUACGGGAGGCAGCAGUAGGGAAUCUUCCACAAUGGGCGCAAGCCUGAUGGAGCAACACCGCGUGAGUGAAGAAGGGUUUCGGCUCGUAAAGCCCUUUUGUUGGAGAAGAAGGUGCGGGAGAGUAACUGUUCACCCAGUGACGGUAUCCAACCAGAAAGUCACGGCUAACUACGUGCCAGCAGCCGCGGUAAUACGGAGGGGGCAAGCGUUAUCCGGAUUUAUUGGGCGUAAAGCGAGCGCAGGCGGUUGCUUAGGUCUGAUGUGAAAGCCUUCGGCUUAACCGAAGAAGUGCAUCGGAAACCGGGCGACUUGAGUGCAGAAGAGGACAGUGGAACUCCAUGUGUAGCGGUGGAAUGCGUAGAUAUAUGGAAGAACACCAGUGGCGAAGGCGGCUGUCUGGUCUGCAACUGACGCUGAGGCUCGAAAGCAUGGGUAGCGAACAGGAUUAGAUACCCGAGUAGUC